rnacentral:rRNA from 1 species
AGCAGCCGCGGUAAUUCCAGCUCCAAUAGCGUAUAUUAAAGUUGUUGCAGUUAAAAAGCUCGUAGUUGAAUUUCGGGAUCAAAGAAUCGGUCAUGCCUUGGUAUGUACUGGUUUUAUUGGUUCUCACCUUCUAAAGAACCAUGAUGUCAUUCAUUUGAUGUUAUGGGGAAUUAGGACUGUUACCUUGAAAAAUUAGAGUGUUUAAAGCAAGCUUACGCUUGAAUACAUUAGCAUGGAAUAAUGAAAUAGGACAUCAGAUUCUAUUUUGUUGGUUUCUAGGAUCGAUGUAAUGAUUAAUAGGGAUAGUUGGGGGCAUUAGUAUUCAAUUGUCAGAGGUGAAAUUCUUGGAUUUAUUGAAGACUAACUACUGCGAAAGCAUUUGCCAAGGAUGUUUUCAUUAAUCAAGAACGAAAGUUAGGGGAUCGAAGACGAUCAGAUACCGUCGUAGUCUUAACCAUAAACUAUGCCGACUAGGGAUCGGAUGAUGUUAAUUUUUAAUGA